rnacentral:rRNA from 1 species
UACAGAGGUCCCAAGCGUUGUUCGGAUUCAUUGGGCGUAAAGGGUGCGUAGGCGGCGCGGUAAGUCGGGUGUGAAAUCUCGGGGCUUAACUCCGAAACUGCAUUCGAUACUGCCGUGCUUGAGGACUGGAGAGGAGACUGGAAUUUACGGUGUAGCGGUGAAAUGCGUAGAUAUCGUAAGGAAGACCAGUGGCGAAGGCGGGUCUCUGGACAAUUCCUGACGCUGAGGCACGAAGGCCAGGGGAGCAAACGGG